UCUGUACGGGAAGGAUGAGAAGCUUCGACUAAGGUUCGAUUCGAGCGCAGCGAGAAAGCGUUGCCGCAGGCAACGACCCGAAGGGCGAAGCGCGCAGCGCUGAGUAAUCCUUCCCCCACCACCA
rnacentral:sRNA from 1 species